CAGCAGUCAAGAAUAUUAGUCAAUGCUCGCAAGAGUGAACAAGCCAACUGGAAUCACAACAACUUGUGAUAAAGUAAGGGAGGAUAAUGACGUUACCUUACUAUUAGUGUCGUCUAAAAUUGGUGCCAGAAGACUCGGUAAUACCAAAUACACAAACGUUAGUCAUCAUAAAUAGGCGUAAAGGGUUUGUAGGCUGCUCAUAAAAUUUAUAUAAUAAGAGCUAGAAUCAAAUAGAGGUCAAUAUCAUACCUAGUGAAAGAAUUAAAUCUGUAAAUAUUAGGGGGAAUACUAGAAGCGAAGGCGAUUUUCCAUUUAAUGAUUGACGCUGAGACACGAAGGUUGGGGCAGGAAAUAGGAUUAGAUACCCUAGCACUCCCAACUGUAAACGAUGAAUGGUAGGUGUUAAUUAUAUUAAAAUUAGUACCGAUGUGAACACGUUAACCAUCCGCCUUGUGAGUAUACUGCAAAAGUGAAAACAAAAAAAUAGUCGGCCCGAAGCAA
rnacentral:rRNA from 1 species